rnacentral:rRNA from 1 species
CAGUAGCCACGGUAAUACGUAGGGUGCAAGCGUUAAUCGGAAUUACUGGGCGUAAAGCGUGCGCAGGCGGUUAUAUAAGACAGAUGUGAAAUCCCCGGGCUCAACCUGGGAACUGCAUUUGUGACUGUAUAGCUAGAGUACGGCAGAGGGGGAUGGAAUUCCGCGUGUAGCAGUGAAAUGCGUAGAUAUGCGGAGGAACACCGAUGGCGAAGGCAAUCCCCUGGGCCUGUACUGACGCUCAUGCACGAAAGCGUGGGGAGCAAACAGGAUUAGAUACCCCCGUAGUCCCUGUCUCUUAUAA